AACGUAGGAGGCGAACGUUAUCCGGAGUUACUGGGCGUAAAGGGCGUGCAGGCGGUCUGAUAAGUUCGGCGUGAAAUAUUCCGGCUUAACCGGGAUAGGUCGUCGGAGACUGUCGGACUAGAGGGUGAUAGAGGCGUGUGGAAUUCCGGGUGUAGUGGUGAAAUGCGUAGAGAUCCGGAGGAACACCAGUGGCGAAGGCGACACGCUGGGUCACACCUGACGCUAAAGCGCGACAGCAUGGGGAGCGAACGGG
rnacentral:rRNA from 1 species